UCUGGAUUCUCCUGCCAGAUGGAGAUGCCUCAGAGGUCAGAUCUCAACCCAGAGGACAGAAGAUUCACUUCUAUCACUAUUGCACAGGUGGACAAAGUUUCUUAGGAGCCAGUAUGAGGACAAGGUGGCAAGGAUCCAUGAGGUGACACUGUUUCAAUAGUAGAAGCCUAUGCUGUCAUGGAAGGGGCAGAACUGUCACAAAAGAGUCUUGCUCAGCCUCAUCACAUGCUCAGCUGUGGGCUAAGAACAUUGGUGUGGCCCUUUUGGGGAGACUUAGACAACGUUAUGUAGUAAGCAACCUGAUGGAAAACCACUAGUGUGUCCUCAUGCACUUGUAUUGACUCUGGAUCUAAGUGCUCCAUGCCUGCAAUGUUAGAAGUGCCCAUUGAGUGUUUUUAAUCUGGGAUUACAAUGGAUCAUCUUUCAAGCUCUAGUCAGCUCUGGUGUUCUGUGGUCUAUGACCCUGGGAGACAGGGAUCUAUGCAGUUGAUUGCUUCCUAGACCUGUUUCUUAAGUUCUGUCUAUGGAUACACAGCAUGCCAUGCUCAACGGGGUACUUUUAAAUUUCAUUCCAUCCUUGGUCAACUUAGAACUCUGGAAAGCCACAAACUUGGACUACAAGAUCUUAACCGAGAAAUGGAUUAAUAUUCCAAGUUACGGAUCUCCUGAGGAAUACAAAGAUGGGUUCUUCUGGCUUCCUAGCCUGAAAGAAACUAUGACCCAGCAGGGAAGGAAAAAAGUAUCAAGGAACAAUGAUUGGCAGCAUCCACCCUCAAAGAGCGAGAGGAAAAACAGUCUUGGCCUUGCCCUGAUCUUUUCCCAGGAUUGGAAGAAUUACUAAUGUAGACUGUUCCAAAUGUUGAGAGUUGUUAGAGUUUCUGAAUGAAAAGAGCACAGAGGAAGAGGAGAGCAAGCAGGGAGAGGAAAGUGAGGGAACUGUGCCUUUUUUCCACACCCACUCCUAGCAAGAUAUGGCCCCAUCAGUAGGGAUCAGGAACUCUGCCCAGGAGAAUGGAUGUGUGUCCUUAUUCUUGGCUUUUGGUUAGCAAGCAGAUCAUUCUAAGUGGGACAAAGGAACAGACUGAUCUUUGGUGCAUAGCUGUCUCAUCUGCAGAAGAUGUAAGGACAACUCAGUGCCUCCCACGAUUCAGCCAGAUCAAGGGCUGGAGUUAAGUGUGUGUGCUGAGCCCAUCUCAAGGCUUGACCUGCAAGAGGGCAGCCAGUUAGGACUCAGGCAACAUCUGUUACUGCAGCCUGCUCAACUCUCAUUCCUGGAAAAUGUUGCCUGAGCACAAGCAUUCCACAGCACACAGAGAUACCAGGGGGAGGAGGGGGAGGAGGAGAAACACAGAAGGUAGAGUCAUAAGGAUCAUCAGUUGGUGAAGAUAGGAGGGAGCAGGGGCUAUUAGAGGGAGGGAGGCACGGUCCAGCUCCCUGCAUGUUCAUCAGCCAGAUGUGGAGAUAAGGAGGAGACGGUCUAAGGCAGAGCACAGAAUGGAAACUGGGAAGGAAGGGUAGAAGAGACAGGUGACAAAGUCUGCAUAUCUAAGCCAUCAGUGGCAAGUGAGGGCAAUCAAGCUGGUGUCCCGUGUUCUUCCUCAGUGUCUUUGAGAUGUAAGGGAAAUUGGAUUUGGCUCCUGCUAAUCUGAAACCUGCCCAGUACUGGAAAUUCUCUGGCCUGGUUUGGCCUGUUACUACUGUUUUGGGAAAGCUGGAAGAGCCGGGAGCCAGCUGUGGGGAAGACAAGAGAGAAGCCAGAUUCUAGACACUGUUUUUGCAGGAAAAAAAAUCCCUAAGCUUUCUCAGAGCAGAAGAAAAGUCAUUGCAAGAACCUUGGAAAGCCUGGCUUCAAAGUGCACAUAAUGUGCAUAUGAGUGUCCAUUGGGUAUGGGGACAGUGGGCAUGGGAAUACUGCCAUUCUGCUGUGCUUGAAGCUCAGCUGGAGACAGGAACAGGUGGGGAAGCAUGAGAGUAGGCCUGGCUGUGGGAGGAAAGUCUGGCUGGGGUCCAGUGUUCCAACAAAGGCAUAUAUGGUGAGUCAGGAUAGCUGGCCCCAGCCUCCUAGAGAAGGCCUAGAAUGCCAAUUU
rnacentral:lncRNA from 1 species